rnacentral:rRNA from 1 species
GGGCCCGCACAAGCGGUGGAGCAUGUGGUUUAAUUCGACGCAACGCGCAGAACCUUACCAGGGUUUGACAUCCCAAGACCGCCUAUGAAAGUAGGUUUCCCCGCAAGGGGCUUGGAGACAGGUGCUGCAUGGCUGUCGUCAGCUCGUGUCGUGAGAUGUUGGGUUAAGUCCCGCAACGAGCGCAACCCUCGCCUUUAGUUGCCAUCAUUAAGUUGGGCACUCUAGAGGGACCGCCGGCGGCAAGCCGGAGGAAGGUGGGGAUGACGUCAAGUCCUCAUGGCCCUUACACCCUGGGCUACACACGUGCUACAAUGGCGGUGACAAUGGGCAGCUACUUCGCAAGGAGAUGCUAAUCCCAAAAAACCGUCCCAGUUCAGAUUGUACUCUGCAACUCGAGUACAUGAAGGUGGAAUCGCUAGUAAUCGCUGAACAGCAGGCAGCGGUGAAUACGUUCCCGGGCCUUGUACACACCGCCCGUCACGGCAUGGGAGUUGGUUUUACCCGAAGACGGUGCGCUAACCGCAAGGAGGCAGCCGGCCACGGUAGGAUCAGCGACUGGGCCGAAGUCGUAACAAGGUAGCCGUAGGGGAACCUGCGGCU